GAUGAACGCUGGCGGCGUGCCUAAUACAUACAAGUCGAGCGAACAGACGAGGAGCUUGCUCCUCUGACGUUAGCGGCGGACGGGUGAGUAACACGUGGAUAACCUACCUAUAAGACUGGGAUAACUUCGGGAAACCGGAGCUAAUACCGGAUAAUAUAUUGAACCGCAUGGUUCAAUAGUGAAAGACGGUUUUGCUGUCACUUAUAGAUGGAUCCGCGCCGCAUUAGCUAGUUGGUAAGGUAACGGCUUACCAAGGCGACGAUGCGUAGCCGACCUGAGAGGGUGAUCGGCCACACUGGAACUGAGACACGGUCCAGACUCCUACGGGAGGCAGCAGUAGGGAAUCUUCCGCAAUGGGCGAAAGCCUGACGGAGCAACGCCGCGUGAGUGAUGAAGGUCUUCGGAUCGUAAAACUCUGUUAUUAGGGAAGAACAAAUGUGUAAGUAACGAUGCACGUCUUGACGGUACCUAAUCAGAAAGCCACGGCUAACUACGU
rnacentral:rRNA from 1 species